rnacentral:rRNA from 1 species
CAACAGCGUAUAUUAAAGUUGUUGCAGUUAAAAAGCUCGUAGUUGGAUUUCGGGGCAGCCUGGCUGGUCCGCCGCAAGGCGAGUACUGGUCAGCCGCCCUUCCUCUCGAAAGCCCCGACUGCUCUUCGUUGCAGUGGUCGGGUAGUUCGGGACGUUUACUUUGAAAAAAUUAGAGUGUUCAAGGCAGGCCUACGCCUGAAUACAUUAGCAUGGAAUAAUGGAAGAGGACCUCGGUCCUAUUUUGUUGGUUUCCAGGGCCGAAGUAAUGAUUAAGAGGGACAGUUGGGGGCAUUCGUAUUUAAUUGUCAGAGGUGAAAUUCUCGGAUUUAUGAAAGACGAACAACUGCGAAAGCAUUUGCCAAGGAUGUUUUCAUUAA